rnacentral:rRNA from 1 species
GGGCGUAAGCGCGCGCAGGUGGUUUCUUAAGUCUGAUGUGAAAGCCCACGCCCUUUACCGGGGAGGGUCAUUGGAAACUGGAAGACUUGAGCGCAGAAGAGGAAAGUGGAAUUCCAUGUGUAGCGGAGAAAUGCAUAGAGAUAUGGACGAACCCCAGUGGCGAAAGUUACUUUUUGGUCUGUAACUGACACUGACGCGCGAAAGCG